UACGGAGGGUGCGAGCGUUGUCCGGAAUCAUUGGGCGUAAAGGGCGCGUAGGCGGCCUGCUAAGUCGGACGUGAAAUCCCUCGGCUCAACCGAGGAACUGCGUCCGAUACUGGUGGGCUUGAAUCCGGGAGAGGGAUGUGGAAUUCCAGGUGUAGCGGUGAAAUGCGUAGAUAUCUGGAGGAACACCGGUGGCGAAGGCGGCAUCCUGGACCGGUAUUGACGCUGAGGCGCGAAAGCUAGGGGAGCAAACGGG
rnacentral:rRNA from 1 species